CUUUAAUAUGCAGCAUCCAGCUCAUGCUGUGUUGCAGGGAUUUGAUACUGUAUUUCUGACCCUCUCCCAUUACCCAUGGCCACAUUUUGAACAAAUUGGAGUUCUGCUUACAUUGUGACCAAGAUCUGAACAAACCGAACUCCCUCAGAUAACAAUAUACUCUGUAUAAAAUGGUGUUCUGCAAAGUGAGCAAAAUCGGGAAGAUUCUAGAGGGACUUUGAAACUUGGACAAAUGGACCAACAAAGGCCAGAAGCCUACUUUGAGAAUUGUGGAAUUUCUCUGCUACAGAGAUCUAUAAAUCCUGGUUGACCACAAAGACAUGUGAAACAUCAAGGAAGUGCUCCAGGACUCAGAUCUCCCACGGUUCAUUCAUUUCUGUGCCCACAUCCCUUUAACUGGUGGCAUCGUGCUGGCCUGCAAGAUGAGGUAAUGUUAUAUGAAGUAAUGCACUAUAAGGGGAAAGAAAAAAGAAAAAAAAAUCUCUCAAAUAAAGGAGUUACUUACUAUCUUGAUGUUUUAUCCAAAAUAAUU
rnacentral:lncRNA from 1 species